AACGUAGGAGACAAACGUUAUCCGGAGUUACUGGGCGUAAAGGGCGCGUAGGCGGGGAGGUAAGUCGGGUGUGAAAUCCCUCGGCCCAACCGAGGAACUGCGCCCGAGACUGCUUCUCUUGAGUCCCGGAGAGGAAGGUGGAAUUCCCGGUGUAGCGGUGAAAUGUGUAGAGAUCGGGAGGAACACCGGUGGCGAAGGCGGCCUUCUGGACGGUGACUGACGCUGAGGCGCGAAAGCGUGGGGAGCAAACAGG
rnacentral:rRNA from 1 species